CUGAAGAACGCAGAGAAGAAAACUCAAACGCAGCUUGGAGGAAGCACUGAAUGAGCCCUCCAUCUGGUCGCCGUUCUUCAACGUUCAGCCACCGGUGCCAUUCGCAUUGCUACAGCUUCGGCAGAACGUCGCCAUUGUUCGCCACGUGUCUACCUCCUUUUUGGCCAAGCUUCUGCCUCUGUUUUCUGGCCGAGCCUUGUUCUGCCCUUUUUGGCCAACCCUUGUUCUGCCUUUGUUCGAGUUGCUUAGCCUUCUGUUCAGCCUCUAUUCCGCCGCCUUUCAGCCACUGUUCAGCCAUAGUUCAACCAUCUCCGUCGCGUUUUAAAGCUCCCCCCUCUCCCUGUACUGUUUGAAUUUCAGAACUGCUCUAUCCUAGGAUGGUAGAAAAAAGAAGACU